CGGAGGUUGUCACCUUACAGUAUGUUACACAAUUACAGGGCCAUGAAAAGACAGCUGCAAGAUGACACAGGGCAAGAUGGUUUCCCAAUGCGUAAAGAUUGAACACCAACCUCCGAGAUGAAUCAGAAGAGUAGGGCCACUAGAAGCACCUGUAUGGAUAGGACACGAGUGUAGUAAUAAAACCAUAUUGCCAAUAUAAA